UCCACCUUCCCUCCUUGAACUAGUCUUGAUUCUUUUCCAGCCUCUUUACCCUCAAACUCACUUUUUUCUCUCAUCUUUUCCGCAGAAUUCAAGCUCUCACUCCCCUUUGUGGCCAAGGCCGAAGCCUCCCUCUCCCUCUCCAGCAUCUUUAUUUGAUCAACAUAUACCUCUUGAGGUGAUAAAGGAGCGAGUAUAACCUUCUGU
rnacentral:lncRNA from 1 species